AAAUAAGAAUUAAAAUAUUAUAUUUAAUUUCGACUUAAACCCCUGGAUUUCAAACAAUCCCUUAUUUA
rnacentral:tRNA from 1 species